UGCGCGACAGAAUCAGGCUGCAGAGGCGAGGGGCGGGGCCUGGAGGCGGGCAAGUGGGGUGAGCACGCAGCUCGCGUCGGGACGCUGUCAGGGCCGGCAGCGAGAGCCUGGGCUGGUGCCCCGGCACGCCUGUUGCUGCGGGUCACGCGGCUCCGUUCCUAUGGCAACUAUGUGGCAGGCACCCCUCAGCCACAUAGUUAUACUGACCUAACCCCCGGUGUAGACGGCGCUAGGUCAAAGGGCGUCCGGUGGACAUGGCUCCCCCUCUUGGGGACGUGGCGUACCUCCUGUGCCAUGGGAGAAGCUCUCCCAGCGCAGGUAGCAUCUUCACUCGUCCUCUUGUGGCGCAGCUCCCGCACUGUGAGUGUAGACAAGCCCUUAUACAGGUCGCGUGUGUCUGCAUUUCCUGUCCUUCGCCCAGGUGUUUGUGUUAACAGGGUGCUCGGAGAGGAAUGCAGCCUUCCAACUGCGCUUGUGAAUCUUAACAUGGAUUGCAGCACAUGACUGUUAGGGUGCAGGCCUUAAUCAAUUUCCAAUGUACCUUUUAUCAUGAAAUACAAAAAAGAGGUCGUACAAAAACAACAUGGCUAGGAAGGCAUUGAUUUAAAGAGCAUUGCCUCUUACGCCCCCUCCCCGUCUCUUUUGAAGCUCUUCUUCAGCACAGCUAGCUUCUGUAUUUUGAUUAGGAAACAGAAUUAAGAGCACUAGAAAAAGCUUUCCCUUCAGUUUUAAACAAUCUCCUCUUUAAAGAGCAGGGUAACGUACUAUGAAGUGUAAUUCUCAGCCCAUCCCAAGCCAUUAAAUUUCAAAGAGAGAUGACACCUGAUGUGGUUCCAGUGCACGUUUUGAGAGGUCUUGAUGACUGAUUACAGUAUGACUUUGAGUAAUCAGUUCCAAAGCGGUAUUAUAAUGUUAAAAUAAAUCUCAGCUAUUGCGAAGUAAUCUGUUUCCUUUACAGUUUCUACUCAAGCCUUAAAAAAGUGUUCUUAGGUAGUUUAGUAUCUGAAAAAUACAGAAUUUAAGUUGAUGAUGUUUAAAAACCUGUAUACAUUCUUGAUGAGGCAACCAAGGACCAGAACAAAAUGCUUUGUAAUUGAAAGAGAUUAAGUUGUGAAAAAGAAAUAUAUAUAAACACAAGACUAAUAGAGCUAACUGAGUAUCUAAAACUUCAUGAAAUGCAUAAACUUAAUACAAAGAAGCCUUAAAGAGUAUACUUAUUCAAAAGCAAGCUGGUCGCAAAAAGUCACAAAAUAUUUUAGCCUUAAUGCUAACAAAAUGGAAAGGCUAGUUUCUUAAAUGACAGAUGGAUAAGUGUUUGGUCUCAUGUUGUUUUCCCAUAGAAAUACCUUGUAUUUAUAAAUAACUAAUAACCCCUCUGACUUUAAAGGAUUCUAAUGUGCUUUAUGAAUAUGGGAAUGACAAAGAAAUGCAGCCCUGUCUCAGGUAGUAUCAGCUGCUGUCCAACUGCACACAGCAAUGCUCAACAGUAUCUUAGCAUAGGAAGUGAAGAAUAGUAUUGUAUCCACUUGAAAUGCUUGGGAACCCUAGAUAGGGGAACUCUAGAUAGGAUGGUUGAAAUUAUAUUAGAAUCCGAUUAACUGGAACCACCCAGUGGUUGGAGAGGCUUUCAUCUUGGUUAAGCAGAAUUGACAACAGCUGCACCUUUGGACUUCAGCAGUCAGACAGCAGUCAACAGCUGCACCUUUGGACUUCAGCAUUGGGCUAUACUUAUAUGGCUCUCAUCCCCAUUGAAUGAGUGUCUCACAAAGAUUAAUGAAUUUAUCCUCACAACAUCUCUGUUAGGAAAAAGUAUUAUUAUCCACAUGUUACAGAUAGGGAGCUUAGGUACAGAGAAAUUGAAUGACUUGCCCAUCAUAACACAGGAAGUGUAUUGUGGAACCAACAAUUGAAUUAAAAUCUUCCGAGUUCCAAUCCAGUGCCUUAAACAAGAGAUAGCCUUGUCCUGUUUAAGCAGCAAUGUCAGUGUUAACGGACUUAGUGCUUCCUAGAAUAUAUUCUAUAAUUGUACCCUAAUUGAAAUUUAGCUUGAAUGCUAAGCUAACACCUUUACUCUUGAGGAAAAAUGUCAUGGUAUUUUAUAUUUCCACGUAGCGUUAGGACCUCAGAGAAACCAAACCAAAAUACAGUGCUUCCAUUUCUCUCAAUGUUAGGUUAAUACACUCGUCAAAAUUUAGUGUAGAGUUAAUAGAAAAAAUGCUUAUAAUAUUUGUUUUCUUAGACCAUGUCUACACUAGAAACUUACCAGUUUAGCAAUAUCAGUUAAGGGUGUAAUGUGGUGGUUUUUUAUGACAUUUCUAUACAGGCAAAAGCCCUAGUGUAAAUGCAGUUAUACCGACAUAAAAGUGCCUUUGCUGGUAUAGCUUAUUUUGCUUACCGAACAAUAUAAACUAUAUCUGUGAAAGUACUUUUUUGCCAGCAUAAUCUAUGUGUACUCUAGCAGAGAUUUGCCAGUAUAGCAAUACCAGCAAAACCUUUAAGUGUAGACUAGGCCUUAGGUCUCACAUCAAAGUUUUAGCUGGGUUUGGACCAGCUUAGCUGAAGAUCUGUAACGACUGCUGUCCAACCUGGAAAAAUGUUAUAUGUAUAUAAACUUUGUAGCUGAAAGACUUGAUUUUUUAUUUACCAGCUGUUUUGGUCUGUAUAUUGAAUAAAAUAAAAAUCAUUUAGUUUCUUCACAAAAGUUCAGAGACUAUUUAGAAUCUUUUUACCUUUGUCUGUUAAGCAGUCAGUUCUUUUAGAUUCACUCAAGUCCGUCUAUCUAAAGUAUUUAUGUGGACCCCAUCUCCAUAGUAUCUGAGCACCUCACAAUGCCAAUGAGGUAGGGAAGUACUAUUAUCCCCAUUUUACAUGUUGGAGAACUGAGGCACAGGGAGAAUAAGUGACUUUCCCAGGGCCAUACAGGAAGUCUUAUAAAACUCCUAUAUAUUCUAUCCCCAUAUGAUUUUGGUAGUUAUUUCUGAUAUUCUAUACUAUUUUAACUCCAUACAUGCAAUUUUAUUCUGAUGUAGGUCACAUUCCUCUAAGAAAUUUGACCAUAAAAUGAAAAUGUAGAUUUAAGGUUUAUAUCUUUGGUGUACAUUUUUUAUAUCUAAUUUUGUUGUGCAUGUAAUUGGAUUACAUCAGAGAUAUUGUAGAACAUUAAAAGAACAGUUUAAAAAAUUUAUACUAACCGUUGCCAAAAUAGCACAUUUAUUAUUAGUCAUGGCAGGAUUCAGUUUAAAUCAUUAGUCAUCAUUGGUAAAUGUCUAUUUCACUGGGCACAUUGAAAUCGACGAAAAAAAUAUCCAUAGGUAAUAGUUAGCAAGCACAGCUUCCCAGGCUCCUUGCAGGAAUCCGGUAUCUCCAGCUUUGCAAGGAGUCCUCUGCAGCCCUGCUGUCGUGGCUGUGUAGGGAUCCCCCUGCAGCAUUGCUGCGAAAUGGUGAAAAUUUAUUUAAAAUUGGGGAGGGGCGGGAAGGUUAAAAAUAAAAUCCAUACUGACCAUUGAAUUUACCACCCAAAAAAAAAAAAAAAAUUUGAAUUCUGCCAAGCCUGUUUGAUAAUGUAUCAUACCCUGAUUACACCAUUGUUCGGUUUUGUGGUGGAAAAACCUUCAUCUUUAUUGGAAAUGUAAAAUUCACAUGGUACAAAAUCUCAUUAAAAUUGGAGGAACAUUCACUACUUAGUUUGCAUUUGUUUAUGAUAUUGCCUCACUGUUCAGAAAUACUAAGGGGUCUAACUCAGUCCUGAUGCAUGCAAUUUUGUAAGUGAUAGUAAGAGUUAUAUGCAUCAAAUAGAUUAUUGACUCGUAAAAUCUUCUCUGCAAUAAUUGAUUCCAGAGAGUGUUACUCAGUGAAUGUUUGCGCCAUAUAAAAUGAGACAUCCACAGAAAGGCUCUAGAUUUAGACACAUCCUAGGUGAAUACAUGGAGGACCAAUGAAAGGAUUACUGCUUACCAAACACUUCGUUAACAAAGGGAUGUGUAAUUAAAUAUACAAAAAGUAACAAGAUCCUUGCAUGCUUCAUGCUGAAUUUUGUGAUAAUUUGAAAUGUAAUUCAGGAAAUUUAAUUGCACUGUCAGUGUUUUGUGUCAAAUAGAAUGUUAUUAGAAAGUUUUCUACUCAUGUUUCAUGUAUACAGUAUUUAUGUUUGGAUAUAUUAAUAAAAGUCUACAACAUCUGAUGUAA